GAGUGCAUUGUCAGGCAUCCAGGUGGUAAAACAGCAGAAAAAUCUGAAACCCUUUAUGCAGAAUGUUCUUUUUCAUCAUUGACUAUCAGCUCCUCAUCAAGUGAAUAUCUUGAAGGAGUUGCAAGCACGAUAACGUGUUCUGUUUCAUACAGUUGCUCUAACAAUGAACCAAAGUUGACUUGGAACUAUGCUAACAUGCCAGCUACCAGUAAUACUUACAAAGAUGGGACUUGGUGGAAAAUUACUUCUACACUGACAUUCACACCAUCAGCCAAAGACCAUGGAAAUCAUCUGAGAUGUUCUGCACAUUUUCCUGGACGAUCAACCCAGGAUAGGAGUAUCCCCAUAUUGGUAAAAAGAAACAUGCUCAAUCUGGGAUGGUCUUUCACUACUCCAAGAAGCUUGACAGGAUUAAAAGGGUCAUGUAUCAUCAUUCCUUGCAAGUUUACCUACAGUAAUUCCCAGCCAGGUGGCCUCCAAGUUUUAUGGUACUUGUACCAGAGUAAUGGCUAUCCAGCUGUAUUCAACCAAAAAGGAGGAAAUAUUUUGAACAGAUAUGAUGGGAAAACAAGUUUAACAGGCUCUGUGACAGACAGGAAUUGUAGCCUUAAAAUAGAAAGGCUGGAGAUGUACCACAAUCAGGAUCGACUUUACCCAUGGAUCGAUGAGCACCCAAUUACUUCCUACCAUUCACAGGGACACUCAUUUUUGGAUAAAAGCACUCAGAUUAUGGUUUCCGACCAUGCACAAGCUCCACAACUGAGCAUAAUGGAUCUCCCUAGGGUGGGGGAAAAAAGCAGAGUUGCCUGUAUAGUGCAGCAUACAUGUUCUGCUGCACCCCCUGUCCUGUCUCUGGAUGGGAUACCUGGGACAGACCACAUUUCCGACACCCCAGUGUCAGAUGGGAUUUGGGAAAGAAAUUGAAAGAACAUGGACUGUUCAGGAAGACCACAGCAGGGUGGAGUGCACUGUGAGAUAUGCUGGUGGACAGAGUGCCAAAAACGAGCUUCAAAUACAUGUUGAAUGUCCUAAUGAAGAAAUCAAAAUGAAUGAAUCACCAGGAGAGUUGACAGAGGGUGUGGCAAAGAGCGUGAUUUGUUCUGUGUCCUACAAGUGCAAAAAAAAUAGACCGACAAUUGAAUGGAACUAUUCAGACAUGCAGAGUGUAGUAACAAACUACCAACAAGCUAGUUAUAACUUAAUCACUGAGUCCAAUCUAACAUUUAUUGGAUCUUUAGAAGACAACGGAAAACGUUUGACCUUUACUGCACAGUUUGCCACUGGAGAAACAUCAUACUCCACAGAUCUCAGUG